GGUGUUUUGAGUUUGGAAUUCUUCAGGGGUAAAGGAUUUUGAGCUUGGAAUUCUUCAGGGGUAAAGUGUUUUGAGUUUGGAAUUCUUCAGGGGUAGGGUGUUUUGAGUUUGGAAUUCUUCAUGGGUAGAGUGUUUUGAGUUUGGAAUUCUUCAGGGGUAAAGGAUUUUGAGCUUGGAAUUCUUCAGGGGUAAAGUGUUUUGAGUUUGGAAUUCUUCAGGGGUAGAGUGUUUUGAGUUUGGAAUUCUUUAGGGGUAAAGUGUUUUGAGUUUGGAAUUCUUCAGGGGUAGAGUGUUUUGAGUUUGGAAUUCUUUAGGGGUAAAGUGUUUUGAGUUUGGAAUUCUUCAGGGGUAGGGUGUUUUGAGCUUGGAAUUCUUCAGGGGUAAAGUGUUUUGAGCUUGGAAUUCUUCAGGGGUACAGUGUUUUGAGCUUGGAAUUCUUCAGGGGUAAAGUGUUUUGAGCUUGGAAUUCUUCAGGGGUAGGGUGUUUUGAGCUUGGAAUUCUUCAGGGGUAGUGUGUUUUGAGCUUGGAAUUCUUCAGGGGUAGGGUGUUUUGAGUUUGGAAUUCUUCAGGGGUAAAGGAUUUUGAGUUUGGAAUUCUUCAGGGGUAGGGUGUUUUGAGUUUGGAAUUCUUCAGGGG
rnacentral:lncRNA from 1 species